rnacentral:misc_RNA from 1 species
GAUGAAGAACGUAGCGAAAUGCGAUAAGUAAUGUGAAUUGCAGAAUUCAGUGAAUCAUCGAAUCUUUGAACGCACCUUGCGCCUUUUGGUAUUCCGAAAGGCACACCUGUUUGAGCGUCAUGAAUACCUCAAUCUCCAUCUUUUCUUCGGAUUGAUGGGUGACUUGGAUGUUGAGCCCUGCUGGUAUGCUAUAUCAGCUGGCUUUAAACUUAUUAGCCGGCUCUGUACUGGAUCGGUUUGACUCGACGUGAUAAUAUUAUCGUUGAGGAUGCAUGUCUCAUGCAGCCGGAAAGUAUCAAAGCAGCUUCUAGCUUGCCUUUAGUGCACUUUCACAUUUUAGACCUCAGAUCAGGUGGGACUACCCGCUGAACUUAAGCAUAUCAAUAAGCGGAGGA